AACGAACGCUGGCGGCAUGCCUAACACAUGCAAGUCGAACGGGACCGCCCGGGCUUGUUUCGCUCGGGUGGGUGCGGCCUGGGAAGCUACCUGUAGGUGCGGUGUAACUCACUGCAGUUUAAGCCAAUACAGGUUGAUGUAUUCGGGCCAAAGACUUGUCGCCGUUAGAUGGGCCGGCGUUGGUUUAGCUAGUUGGUGGGGUACAGGACUACCAAGGCGACGAUCCAUAGCUGGUCGGAGAGGAGGAUCAGUCACACUGGGACUGAGACACGGCCCAGACGCGUACGGGAGGUAGGAGUGGGGAAUAAUGGAGAAUGGGCGUAAGGCUGAUCCAGCGAGGCCGCGUGGGUGAUGAAGGGCUUGGGGUUGUAAAGCUCUUUGGACCGAGAUGAUAGUGACGGUACCGGGAGAAGAAGCACCGGCUAACUACGUG
rnacentral:rRNA from 1 species